rnacentral:lncRNA from 1 species
CCUUCAUUUCUCUGCAGGUAAUGGAGAAGAACAGAGGGCCCACAGCCCCAGCUCCUCAGAUGGGCCCUCAGCAGAAGCUACCGGUCAGAGAGAGAGCCCCUGCUCCACGCCUGCCCACCUUCCCAUGCAGUCUUCCUCUUCUGGUCCUGGUUGAUCCAGGAGCAGCCGGAAGUGGAGCCAGAAGCUGACCCUCACUACUUACCUCCAUCAGCGAGCUGGAAACUGCCUUCUCCAGCAGCCCCAGAACAGAUCAGAGACAGAGUCCAGGACUGGAAAACAGGUGCCCCACCUGCACGCACACCGUGAUUUUGCACAGAGACCUUCUGCGGGAAGGCCAUUACUAACUCCACGGGAUGGGAUUUGUCCCCCACGCCCACUCCCAGCCAGGUUAUCCUCAGCUUCCCACCUCCUGGGAGCAGUGAC